rnacentral:rRNA from 1 species
GAUGAACGCUGGCGGCGUGCCUAAUACAUGCAAGUCGAGCGAACAGACGAGGAGCUUGCCCCUCUGACUGUAGCGGCGCACGGGUGAGUAACACGUGGAGAACCUACCUAUAACACUGGGAUAAAUGCGGGAAACCGGAGCUAAUUCCGGCAUAUAUAUUGAACCUCAUGGUUCAAGAGUGAAAGACGGCAUGCCUGUAGAUUAUAGGUGGAUCCGCGCCGCAUUAGCUAGUUGGUAAGGUAACGGCACACCAAGGCAACGAUCGGUAGCCGAUCUGAGAGGAUGAUCAGCCACACUGGAACUGAGACACGGUCCAGACUCCUACGGGAGGCAGCAGUGGGGAAUAUUGGACAAUGGGCGCAAGCCUGACCCAGCCAUACCGCGUGGGUGAAGAAGGUCUUCGGAUUGUAAAGCCCUUUUAUUAGGAAAGAAAACCUGUCGAUGAAAACUCGGUGGGGAUGACGGUACCUAAUGAGUAAGCACCGGCUAACUUCGUG